rnacentral:rRNA from 1 species
UACAGAGGUCCCAAGCGUUGUUCGGAUUCACUGGGCGUAAAGGGUGCGUAGGCGGUCGGGUAAGUUUGAUGUGAAAUCCCAGGGCUUAACUCUGGGUCUGCAUUCGAUACGGGCUGGCUAGGGUCCUUCAGGGGAGACUGGAAUUCCUGGUGUAGCGGUGAAAUGCGCAGAUAUCAGGAGGAACACCGGUGGCGAAGGCGGGUCUCUGGGAAGGUACCGACGCUGAGGAGCGAAAGCGUGGGGAGCAAACAGG